rnacentral:ncRNA from 1 species
GAGACAGUUCGGUCCCUAUCUGCCGUGGGUGUAGGAUACUUGAGAGGAGUUGCCCCUAGUACGAGAGGACCGGGGUGAACGAUCCACUGGUGGACCAGUUGUUAUGCCAAUAGCAGUGCUGGGUAGCUAUGAUCGGAAAGGAUAACCGCUGAAGGCAUCUAAGCGGGAAGCCCCCCUCAAAACAAGGUAUCCCUGAGAGCCGAGGUAGACCACCUCGUCGAUAGGCUGGAGAUGUAAGUGCAGUAAUGCAUUCAGUUGACCAGUACUAAUUGCUCGAUAGGCUUGAUUUG